GGGCAUGCAAGUCCAGGGGAGCUUUCGCUCACCGGCAAACUGCUCAGUAACACGUCGAUAAUCUGCCCUUAGGUUCAGAAUAACCUCGGGAAACUGAGGGUAACACUGAAUAGAGGAUUUCUACUGUAAUGUGUUUUCCUUUAAAGAUUACGCCUAAGGAUGAGUUGGCGGCGGAUUAGCUUGUUGGUGGGGUAACGGCCCACCAAGGCGAUGAUCCGUAGGGGCCUUGGAAGAGGUAGCCCCGAGAAGGACACUGAGAUACUGGUCCUAGCCCUACGGGGUGCAGCAGCUACGAAACCUUUACACUACACGAAAGUGUGAUAAGGGGAUCCCAAGUGCUUAUACACUGUAUAAGCUUUUUCUAAGAGUAAAGACCUUAGAGAAUAAGUGGUGGGAAAGACUGGUGCCAGCAGCCGCGGUAAUACCAGCGCCACAAGUGGGGGCCAUGAUUAUUGGGUCUAAAGCGUUCGUAGCAGGUCAAUUAAAUCUCUUGUGAAAUCGUUGGGCUUAACCUAACGGCGUGCAGGAGAGACUGGUUGACUUGAGACCGGGAGGGGUUAGAGGUAUUUCUGGGGGAGCGGUAAAAUGCUAUAAUCCCAGGAGGACCACCUGUGGCGAAGGCGUCUAACCAGAACGGGUCUGACUGUGAGGAACGAAAGCUAGGGGAGCAAACCGGAUUAGAUACCCGAGUAGUCCUAGCCGUAAACGCUGUGAGCAAGGUGUUGCACAUUCUACGGAAUGUGCAGUGUCGAAACGAAGGUGUUAAGCUCACCACCUGGGAAGUACGGUCGCAAGAUUGAAACUUAAAGGAAUUGGCGGGGGAGCACUACAAGGGGUGCGGCGUGCGGUUUAAUUGAACUCAACGCCGGAAAUCUCACCAGGAGCGACGGCAGAAUGAAGGUCAGUCUAGAGGGCUUACCUAACAAGCCGAGAGGUGGUGCAUGGCCGUCGUCAGCUCGUGCCGUAAGGUGUCCUGUUAAGUCAGGCAACGAGCGAGACCUGCAUCUACAAUUGCUAACAGCUCUUUUAGAGGACUGAGCACUUUGUAGAGACUGCCUAGGAAACUAGGAGGAAGGUGCAGGCUACGGUAGGUCUGUAUGCCCCGAAUCCCCUGGGCUACACGCGCGCAACAAUGGUAUGGACAAUGGGCUGCAACUCCGAAAGGAGAAGCUAAUCCUCGAAACCAUAUCUCAGUUCAGAUCGAGGGCUGCAACUCGCCCUCGUGACGUCGGAAUCCCUAGUAAUCGGAUGUCAUCAGCAUCCGAUGAAUACGUCCCUGCUCCUUGCACCCACCGCCCGUCAAGCCACCCGAGCAGGGUUUAAGUGAGGCUUAACUUUAAUUAAGUCGAACUUAGGCUCAGUGAGGAGGGCUAAGUCGUCACAAGGUA
rnacentral:rRNA from 1 species